rnacentral:SRP_RNA from 1 species
GCCGGGCGCGGUGGCGCGUGCCUGUAGUCCCAGCUACUCAGGAGGCUGAGGUGGGAGGAUCACUUGAGCCCAGGAUUUCUGGGCUGUAGUGCGCUAUGUCGAUUGGGUAUCUGCACUAAGUUCGCCAUCAAUAUGGUGACCUCCCGGGAGCGGGGGACCACCAGGUUGCCUAAGGAGGGGUGAAUCGGCCCAGGUCAGAAAUGGAGCAGGUCAAAACUCCCGUGCUGAUCAGUAGUGGGAUGGCGCCUGUGAAUAGCCACUGCACUCCAGCCUGGGCAACAUAGUGAGGCCCCAUCUCU